rnacentral:rRNA from 1 species
UACGUAGGCAGCAAGCGUUGUUCGGAGUUAACGUGGGCGUAAAGGGUGCGUUAGGCGGCUUUUUAAGUUUAAGUGUGAAAUCUCCCGGCUCAACUGGGAGGGUGCGCCGAAUACUGAGAGGCUAGAGUUGGUGGGAGGGGAAAGUGAAUUCCUGGUGUAGCGGUGAAAUGCGUAGAUAUCAGGAGGAACACCGGUGGUGUAAACGGCUUUCUGGACCAUAACUGACGCUGAUGCACGAAAGCGUGGGUAGCAAACAGG